GCGCCACAGGGCGAAAGUCCGGCGCAUGAGGAAAGUCCGGGCUCCGCAGGACAGGAUGCCGGGUAACUCCCGGUGAAGGCAACUUUAAGGAAAGUGCAACAGAAAAGAAAACCGCCCGCAAGGGUAAGGAUGAAAAGGCGAGGUAAGAGCUCACCGGCGUUAUGGAGACAUAGCGGCCUUGUAAACCCCAUCCGGAGCAACGUCGAGGAAACAGGCUUAACCGUGGUCCGCGGGCCUGAGGAGACGGCUUGAGCCAUGCAGAAAUGUAUGGCCUAGAUAGAUGAUCGUCACAUACAGAACCCGGCUUACCGGUCUGC
rnacentral:RNase_P_RNA from 1 species